ACUAGCUCCUGGGACGGCAUGCGGGCUCAGGUGCCCCGAUCACUGUCACUGAAAAGGCCUGCGUCUGAUUCCAAAUGCUCCCCACUCGCACUGGCAGUCUCCUGCUGACCUCCUCACCUCCUUAAGCUGCCCCAAGGCGGAGGGGAAGGAGGUCGAACCCGCUGUCAGCCACGGUGGGCUCCUUCCGGCAGAGGUCCCUGUUCUAACCCUCAGACAGGCCCGGCCUGGCUCAGCGAAACCUGUCCUUUGAGCUGCUGGGCCGCCAUGUCUCUUAUCGCAAAAUAAUUAUUUAGCUAAAGCAAAAGGAGGGCAAGUUCGUGAGAAAAUACAACCGCUCCAAGAUACCCACAGAGGAGGACUAGGUCACUUACCAGCAGGUCUGCCAGCCAUUUUGUCCUAAGAGUGAAGAGCUGCCUUCUGGUUCUAGGAGUCUAUGCAGUAGCCACCGUGAAGUCUGAAGGAUAGGAGUAAAUACAUACACGUGUACAUUGGCACAUUGCUUUGCAGAGGGUAUUCAUUAAACUUCACCCUGACAAGUUUCAGCACCAGGGUGAAAGAGGCUUAAGAAGAAGAUCAUAUGUCAAGAAAUUACACUACCUGACUCUUUAAAUUUUAGACAUAUAUAUGUGAUGCAUUGGCACAUUCCCCACACACACCUGCAAUUUUUUUAAAGAUUAAUCUUUAAUAUUUCUUUUCCC